UCCCUGAUAGCUCAGUUGGUAAAGAAUCUGUCUGCAAUGCAGGAGACCCCGGUUCAAUUCCUGGGUGGGGAA
rnacentral:tRNA from 1 species